rnacentral:lncRNA from 1 species
GGUGUUCCUAGGUUGAGAAGUAUAAAUCUCAUGGGAAGUCAGCUAAAGAACAUUUUACGCAUCACUCAUCUUAUUAUGAGCCCUGUUCUCGUCCAUCUCUCUACAAGG